CCUACGGGAGGCAGCAGUGAGGAAUCUUCCACAAUGGGCGAAAGCCUGAUGGAGCAACGCCGCGUGCAGGAUGAAGGCCUUCGGGUCGUAAACUGCUUUUAUGGCGGAAUCGGUAACUCAUGAAUAAGGGUCGGCUAACUACGUGCCAGCAGCCGCGGUCAUACGUAGGACCCAAGCGUUAUCCGGAUUUACUGGGUGUAAAGAGUGCGUAGGCGGCUCGUAAAGUGAAUAGUGAAAUCUGGUCGCUCAACGAUCAAAACAUUAUUCAAACUCACGAGCUCGAGAGUGAUAGAGGUUACUAGAAUUUCUUGUGUAGGAGUGAAAUCCGUAGAUAUAAGAAGGAAUACCAAUGGCGUAGGCAGGUAACUAGAUCAUUCUGACGCUCAGGCACGAAAGCGUGGGGAGCGAACCGGAUUAGAUACCCUUGUAGUC
rnacentral:rRNA from 1 species